ACACUCCUACGGGAGGCAGCAGUGGGGAAUAUUGGACAAUGGGCGCAAGCCUGAUCCAGCCAUGCCGCGUGAGUGAUGAAGGCCCUAGGGUUGUAAAGCUCUUUCACCGGAGAAGAUAAUGACGGUAUCCGGAGAAGAAGCCCCGGCUAACUUCGUGCCAGCAGCCGCGGUAAUACGAAGGGGGCUAGCGUUGUUCGGAAUUACUGGGCGUAAAGCGCACGUAGGCGGAUCGAUCAGUCAGGGGUGAAAUCCCAGGGCUCAACCCUGUAACUGCCUUUGAUACUGUCGAUCUGGAGUAUGGAAGAGGUGAGUGGAAUUCCGAGUGUAGAGGUGAAAUUCGUAGAUAUUCGGAGGAACACCAGUGGCGAAGGCGGCUCACUGGUCCAUUACUGACGCUGAGGUGCGAAAGCGUGGGGAGCAAACAGGAUUAGAAACCCCUGUAGUCCCAUG
rnacentral:rRNA from 1 species